UAGGGAAUCUUCGGCAAUGGACGAAAGUCUGACCGAGCAACGCCGCGUGAGUGAAGAAGGUUUUCGGAUCGUAAAACUCUGUUGUUAGAGAAGAACAAGGACGUUAGUAACUGAACGUCCCCUGACGGUAUCUAACCAGAAAGCCACGGCUAACUACGUGCCAGCAGCCGCGGUAAUACGUAGGUGGCAAGCGUUGUCCGGAUUUAUUGGGCGUAAAGCGAGCGCAGGCGGUUUCUUAAGUCUGAUGUGAAAGCCCCCGGCUCAACCGGGGAGGGUCAUUGGAAACUGGGAGACUUGAGUGCAGAAGGGGAGAGUGGAAUUCCAUGUGUAGGGGUGAAAUGCGUAGAUAUAUGGAGGAACACCAGUGGCGAAGGCGGCUCUCUGGUCUGUAACUGACGCUGAGGCUCGAAAGCGUGGGGAGCGAACAGG
rnacentral:rRNA from 1 species